rnacentral:lncRNA from 1 species
AUAAGAGACUAACAAAUAUUACAUCAAAAUCACAUAUCUUGGCAAAACUAUCAUCUAACAAAGACGAAAACUCAUAAAGUCUAUCUAAACAACACUAGAGGAACACCAACAAGAAGAAUUCAACCAAUUUUUGGCACAAUCAACAUAACAAUUAACAAUUGUAGGCAAAACCAUAAUAAACCUUUGCCUAUCAAAGAUGGAAUCCCUCAAUAGAAACUAUAAAAAUUUACCCAAAUACAACUCUCUUGAGAAAAACUAAUCUUGAAAUACUACUAAAAAAUUAGUAAAGGAAAGACAUCACAAAAAUUAGCUAAUGUUGAGAUAAUGAUUCCUCCCGAAUAAACCAUAAAAUCUUGAUCCUAUCCGCUUGAUUUUUAGCCAAAUUUCAUGAAGAUCGGCCCAAAAGCGCUAAUAUAUCAUUGCUUGAUAACAGCUACCAGGCUGCCCUAAUUUUGUGAAUUUCUACAUUGUUUCUUUUGGGUUUUGGGGCUAAUUGGUG